ACGAACGCUGGCGGCAGGCUUCAUACAUGCAAGUCGAGCGGAAAGGCCCCUUCGGGGGUACUCGAGCGGCGAACGGGUGAGUAACAGGUGGGUAAUCUGCCUUUCGAGGGGGAUAACGGCUGGAAACGGCCGCUAAUACCCCGUACGGUUGCGAAGCUCUCGGGCUUUGCAAAGAAAGGGGCCUUUAAAGCCCCGCCGAAAGAUGAGCCCGCCCCCCAUUAGCUAGUUGGCGGGGUAAUGGCCCACCAAGGCUGUGAUGGGUAGCCGAGCUGAGAGGUUGAUCGGCCACACUGGAACUGAGACACGGUCCAGACACCUACGGGUGGCAGCAGUAGGGAAUAUUGCGCAAUGGGCGAAAGCCUGACGCAGCCAUGCCGCGUGGAUGAUGAAGGCCUUCGGGUCGUAAAGUCCUUUUCUGAGGGAAGAACUGCCGGGGGAGGAAAUGCCCUUGGCUUGACGGUACCUCAGGAAUAAGCAACGGCUAACUCCGUG
rnacentral:rRNA from 1 species